ensembl:lncRNA
CAAGCUUGUCAGUUUUGAUUUAUCACAGCAAUGUUGUGAUAUAAAAGGUGUGAGAGUGUCCAUUCAGCCACUGGUUGAACUGACCCUCAUCAGCACUUGCUUUAGCUGGAACUUUUACAACAUGGUGUGUUUGCUGAGAGUGUGUAUACUUCUCUUCAUGGUAGUCUCCUGUAGUGCCGAGUGCUACAUUUAAAAACCAGAAGUGGAUUUUUUUUAUCUGUCAAUGACAUAACAGACCAUCUACAAGCUGAGACUGUUUGUGUUGCUUACAGCAGUGGUCUGCUGUAAUGCCUGCAGAUUAGAAAUGUUUCCCACUCAAGAUUCCACUAGCAGCCCACAAGGUGAUGUUACUACUUUGUCUAUUGGGAAAAACGUAUGCCCACAUUUUUGCAAAACUUUAAGUGGAAGGCCCACCUAGUGACGCUAUAACGUGUGUUUUGGGAGAUGAAAAUUACAAAUAAUUUUCUUGUUGCUCGCUGUCUAUCUCCACUUCUGUCUGUGAUAGUGUUUUUUUUUUUUAAGACAAUCGCUGUCUUAAAUGGCCAUUGGGUUUAGACCUGUGCAUAUCAAGUAAAAGCGUAUUUUUGUGUUUGUGUGUAUUAAUAAUCCUGGACAACAAAUUAGUUAUAUUUGAAAUACAUGUCUAUUUAGGUUGUGCUGACUCUGAUGGAAAUCUCCAUGAUUUUUUCUCUGAGUGGGAGAGUGGACCCGAAACAUGUGUCUGUGUGGAUUUUGGAACCAUCUGUUGUAAACGAUUUGGUAAUUGGGGACCGACCGAUCAUGACUACGUCAUUAUGGAUGGUGAAGGAUUUGGUAAUUGGGGACCGACUGAUCAUGACUACAUAACUAUUGAUGAUGAAGGAUAUGUCCAUGAUGCUCAGACCCCUGGUGAUUACCAAGUGGCUGAGGACACAGAAUCAGAAAACAGGCUUAAAUAAAAAACCUCAAGAUGACAUGCAGUGCCACAGGUGGGAAGCAAACAGUGUAUUAAAGGGGUUUUGCUAAUACAACAAAAUGAUGCACAGAAUAAAGAUGUCAUAUAGUUUUGGUCA